GGGACUGAUUCACGUCCUUUUCUCAAGAAUGAAUGAUCUGAAGAAAAUACGGCGACUGAUUGUCUCGCCAUCUGCUUCCUUCGAGCCCAAAGGUUGUUGAACACUGAAAUAAUAUCUUUAUUUAUUUUUCCUUUGAGUUCUUCAUUCUCCAUUUUUUGUUUGGAUUCCCAGCUUCUGUAAGUGAUUUGUACUGAAAAACGGUCCGCAGAUGCAGUCAGAAAGGAAUCCUCCGACAGAGCUUCCAACAAUAGAGCCGCAAAAUGGAGAAACUAUGCCCCUUUCAGGCAAACCCUACCAUGCUUUUAUUCUUUCUAAAUCGCAUGUUGCUCCCAUAUAUAAUUUGGUUUUGCCGGCUAAAUUUCAUUCUAUUUUACCUGCUAUUGUCAUCCCUGCGGUUCUUUUAUGUCGAGGCAAGAAAUGGAAGAUAGAUUAUUAUGGAAACAGACGUGGUAAGGCACUCGAUUCAAAACAGUGGAGGAAAUUUGUUAAUGAUAAUUGUCUCAAAUCCGGAGAUGCUUGUGUAUUUGAGCUCUUGGAGUGCAGCAGCAGCAUACUUAAAUUUAGAGUUCAAAUUCUCCGUGGUGACAUACCUUUGGAGCUGCACGACAAGUUCAGUGGGGAGACAAAAGAGACCCCCAUACACCUUGACUAGCUUCCCUUUGUGUGGUUUCGUAGUUUUCAAAAGUCCCGACUUGUCGACAUCAUAUUGCGGUUCUAGAAUCAGACAGCCUAUUUGAUAUUUGGGGAACCUUCAAUACAUGUUUUAGGAAGCAGCAGGGGAAACCAUAGAUCAUUAUCCACUCAUGCUUAGUCAAUACUCCUUCCCCUUCUUGUACUGUGUGUUGUUGCAACUUCAUUGCUUAAGCACGACUGCUUAAAAGAUUGGACAUCAAGUGAAGCUAAAGUUCAAUGAUUGUAUUUCAGUAACGUAUUUCUUGAGUUUUUUUAAUUUAAUUUUAUUUAUAAUAACAAUUAUUAUUCUUUUAUCAGCAUGAAUGUUCUUGGUGCAAACAUUACAUUGCCAUAGCAUAAUGUUUUGCUGGAGAAUUUUGGGUUGAAGGGUUCGUCCAGUACCAUAGCAUAAUGUUCGUCCAGUCUAUGCUUCAAAUAUGCAUAUGCACUCGUAGGACUUUCGAGACCCCAUAUUUCGUCAUCCCAAAGAUACAUGAAUUACAGAUUAUUAAACCCUCUCGAACUUGGUCUCCAUAUAUGUCUUACUUUCAUCUUGAAUAUUUUGCUAGAUGUAGUUCAACCAAGAUGGUUUUGGUGCUGCAAUGAAGUUGUGCUUCCUCGUGAGACGUGCAAUGCAUUAUGUUACUUGUGUUCUUAUGCCAAAUGCACCAGGGUAUAUGGUUAAUAUGUAGAUCCAUUUUUGAUUGUCAUGACCGACACAUCUUCAUAUAGUUGUUAAAUCUUGAAUCUCAAUCUAUUUCCUCUUUGUAUUUCUUCAA